UUUGACAGGAUCCGUUAAAUUCAGUUGCAAGUUUUGUCAAAUAAUUACAUUUUCUUUAAUCCAAAAUAUAUAUUCUUUGUCAAGAUACAGGUCAGGUAUAAGCAAAACGCAGACUAUUUUUCGUACUAAUAGCAUUGAACAGGAGAUUAUUUGAAUUCUAUGCAGACUCGACUGUAGAUGUGUAUCUUAUUUGGUGAGGGAUCAAAUAACUUGUUGUUGUUAGCCUUGGUUUUCAUCUGACAGUCUUCACAUUGUUGUAGCAAAAUGUCUUAUUUCCUUUUUGCUCUUCACAUAAAAAAAAAAAAAAAAAAAAAAAAAAAUGGACGUUAUUUUCACGUUGUCUGGAAUGUGUUUGUUCCGUUGGAAUGGAACAGUUUGAAUUGUAAGGAAAUGUAGCGCCUCGUGUUCCGUACGGAAUGUUGCAUGAUGCUGUUUCUGUGAGUCACUGUAGCUUGAAUUCUCUUCACCUAAACACACUACCAGAUACUUUAGAGAUGUGCCAGAUAUCCGAAAAAAUGUGUUCAGUAUUUGGUUUCAUUAUAAAGACGCCUGUUAAUUGGAAUUCUGAACACAUUCAAGGUUAAAGGAACAGGUCACCUCAAAAUAUUUAUUUGCUGAUAAUCUACUCACUCACAGGACAUCGUAGAUGUAGACGAGUUUGUUUCUUCAUCAUGUUUGGAGAAAUGUAGCAUUACAUCACUGGCUCUGUAAUGGUUGCUCAGCAGUGAAUGGGUGCCAUCAGAAUAAGAGUCCAAACAGCUGAUAAAAACAUCACAAUAAUCCAAACUCAUCUACAUCUUGGAUGGCCUGAGGAUGAGCAUAUUCUCAGCUAAUUUCUAUGUUGUUGGUUUACACACUCCACGUUUCUACCUCAGUUUUAGUUCAGUCUUUUGCUCUUUGCAUCUUUUCAGUGGCAGUACUUUUAUUCGUAACGUUUUAAACGUCUCAGACAGACUUUGCAUUUCACUGUUCGUUAUGUUGGGAGUUUUAGAACAAGAUGAAUCUUUAAUCAUUUCUUAAGUUCUUUGCAUUUUUCCACAUGAUCUGUUUACAGAUGGAUAUAGUUCCUGAUAUACCUCCUCUACCAGUGUUUCAGAGAUGUUCUUCAGGUUUCUUCACUUAAGGAACUUCUUUUAGCAAAACAAAAUCCACAAGAAGUUAAUUUGAGGUCUAAAGCGGUUAGGAUCGUACUUUUAAUGCAACUCACCUUGAAAUACGCAAAAAAAAACGACUCCUAGACUCGCAGUAAGGUCAUGUUUGUUGUCCCUCAGGUGCUCACUGAAAAAUGUUUGCAGGUCAAACAAACACGACGAAUAUUUAACAGUCCAUUUUCUCUCCGUUCUAACAGAGAUGCGCACAUUGACCAAUCACUACACACACAGAUAAAACCAAACUGUUAUCUUUCUACUGAUUUGUUUUCUUUCUAUCGGAGUUUCACAGAUUAUUUUGAGAUUACAGAUAUUUUAUUGUACAAAUGACGUUUUAUUGUUAAUAUCGAACUGGCGGUCUUUCUUAAAUGUAUGUAACAAUGUUGUUUUGAUGAAAUAAAGAGAUAGAAAUAAAUA